UGAGGUUUUUCUUUGUUGUUC
rnacentral:piRNA from 1 species